GCUUCUCUCCAAAGCUACUUUUCCCUGAAGACUUCCUGGAUUCCCAUAAAAUGGGGUUCAGCCACCCCUAAUGCCCGUGGCCAUUUUGUGGGAGGGAAUCCUGCUUAAAACACUGCUUUGCCCAAGGACUGUGAUUGGACUUGAUCAAGACUCUUGACUGCAGAAGAAGUCUACGAAUACGAUUUAAUUGUAAAUCAUGGCUAAAGAACUUGCCAGCAGACACUUGGCCUGCCAAUGGUAGCACUGGAUGUGCGGUGCUGGCUUGGGACAGGUGAUGAAGGAUGGGGCUCGCAUUUCAACAGUCGGUCUCCAGCAGAUUCACCAGGCACUGUACGCCACACAAGAGGAAAAAGUAGAGAAACUUCUCAAGGAGGGCAUUCAGUUUCACCCAGACAAUAUUGGCUUCCUGGGACCAUGCUGCCCAAGACGGAUGGACCCACGGAAGCAGAUGAUGCCUCUUGAGUUAUUCAGUGAAGUACUUGUAUGCUGUCAUUUAAACCUAUGUUUCAUCAACCAGUACAAGCCAUAUGGCCAAAGCCAGCACCAAUGAUGUAGAAGAGCUCUGCCUACUAUAGUUGGUGUUACUAAAAAGUCACAUGACAAAGAAGCCGCUAAUUGGUGAGUGCCAAAUAAGACUCCUUAGGAAGCAACAGAAGCUCUUUAAAUAAGCCACUGGAAGCCACUCUUCCUUCCUUUGCUGUCAGAGA
rnacentral:lncRNA from 1 species